rnacentral:rRNA from 1 species
GACCUACGGGAGGCAGCCGUCGAGAAUCAUUCCCAAUGGGGGCACCCCUGAUGGUGCGCCGCCGCUUUUUGUCCUUCCUUUCUUCUUAUUUUCACCCCCUGUCAUGUUUUCUCAAAUUAAAAAGAUAGUCCCACCAGAUGAAGAGACGGCUCCCUCUUUGCCAUCAUCCGCGGUAAUACAGCUGUCUCAAUCGUUUUUCGGAAUCCCUUUUCGUAAAGCUUGCGUAGGCUUUUUCGUAAGUCGUGUGUGAAAGGCGCGGGCUCAACCCGCGGACGGCACAUGAUACUUCGAGACUAGAGUAAUGG